rnacentral:rRNA from 1 species
GACGAACGCUGGCGGCGUGCCUAAUACAUGCAAGUUGAGCGCUGAAGGUUGGUACUUGUACCAACUGGAUGAGCAGCGAACGGGUGAGUAACGCGUGGGGAAUCUGCCUUUGAGCGGGGGACAACAUUUGGAAACGAAUGCUAAUGCCGCAUAAAAACUUUAAACACAAGUUUUAAGUUUGAAAGAUGCAAUUGCAUCACUCAAGAAGGUCCCGCGUUGUAUUAGCUAGUUGGUGAGGUAAAGGCUCACCAAGGCGAUGAUACAUAGCCGACCUGAGAGGGUGAUCGGCCACAUUGGGACUGAGACACGGCCCAAACUCCUACGGGAGGCAGCAGUAGGGAAUCUUCGGCAAUGGACGAAAGUCUGACCGAGCAACGCCGCGUGAGUGAAGAAGGUUUUCGGAUCGUAAAACUCUGUUGGUAGAGAAGAACGUUGGUGAGAGUGGAAAGCUCAUCAAGUGACGGUAACUACCCAGAAAGGGACGGCUAACUACGUG